GGAGUUGUGGCUCAGUGAUAGAGUGCAUGCCUAGCACGCGUGAGGCACUGGGUUCGAGCCUCAGCACCA
rnacentral:tRNA from 1 species